AUGGUUCAAGGUUCUAAUAACAGUGCAACAGAAACAGACGCAAGGGCUGAAGGGAUAUCAAGCCAACUCGUAGAGCCAAAAAGCUUGCCCAAACCAACAAGGAUAGCGUUAGGCUCGUCAAGCGUUGCCACAAACCCGAUCGCAAAGAAUUCUCUAAGCUUAUCUUUAUCCCAAUUAACAACAUCAUCGUCGGAUCUGGUUAGGAUGAGGGAAACUGCAAUCACCUCAGGAUCAACUUCAAUAGAACAUCUUAGUUAUGUUAUUUUCAGUUUUGCUUUUAUCCAUAGUUCUUAUCUUCGGAAGCAUUACAGUUUUAUCGAACAUGUAAAAUUUUAUUGUCCCAUGUGUUAG